AUGUGCUGCCUUAACCAGAUCAGUAAAGCCUACUCUACUCUACUCUACUCUACUCUACUCUACUCUACUCUACUCUAUUCUACUCUAUUCUACUCUACUCUAUUCUACUCACUCUACUCUAUUCUACUCUACUCUACUCUACUCUACUCUACUCACUCUACUCUAUUCUAUUCUACUGUAUUCUAUUCUACUCUACUCUACUCUACUCACUCUAUUCUACUCACUCUACUCUAUUCUACUCUACUCUACUCACUCUAUUCUAUUCUAUUCUACUGUACUCUGUUCUAUUCUAUUCUACUUUACUCUACUCUACUCACUCUAUUCUACUCACUCUACUCUAUUCUACUCUACUCUACUCUACUCUACUCACUCUACUCUAUUCUAUUCUAUUCUAUUCUACUCUACUCUACUCUACUCACUCUACUCUAUUCUGCUCUACUCACUCUACUAUAUUCUACUCACUCUACUCUAUUCUAUUCUACUCUACUCUACUCUACUCUACUCUACUCUACUCUACUCACUCUAUUCUACUCACUCUACUCUAUUAUACACUACUCUACUCACUCUAAUCUAUUCUACUCACUCUAUUCUACUCUACUCUACUCUACUCACUCUAUUCUACUCUACUCCACUCACUCUACUCUAUUCUACUCUUCUCUACUCACUCUACUCUACUCACUCUACUCUAUUCUACUCUACUCACUCUACUCUACUCUAUUCUAUUCUAUUCUACUCUACUCUACUCUACUCUACUCUACUCUACUCUACUCUACUCACUCUACUCUAUUCUACACUACUCUACUCACUCUACUCUAUUCUACUCACUCUACUCUACUCUACUCACUCUACUCUACUCUUCUCACUCUACUCUAUUCUACUCUACUCUAUUCUACUCUACUCACUCUACUCUACUCACUCUAUUAUAUUCUAUUCUAUUCUACUUUACUCUACUCUCUCUACUCAACUCUACUCUACUCACUCUAUUCUACUCUAUUCUGCUCUACUCUACUCUACUCUACUCUAUUCUAUUCUACUUUACUCUACUCUACUCUAUUCAACUCAACUCUACUCCACUCUACUCUACUCUACUCUCUUCUACUCUCCUCUACUCAACUCUAUUCUAUUCUACUCCACUUUAUUCUAUUCUACUUAACUCUACUCUACUUUGGUCUACUCUAUUCUACUCUCUUCUAUUAUACUCUACUCUAUUCUAUUCUACUUUACUCUACUCUAUUCAACUCUACUCUACUCUAUAAAAGAAACUCAUUUUUUUAG
rnacentral:lncRNA from 1 species